rnacentral:rRNA from 1 species
ACAGAGAUGUGUCUUUCAGUUCGGCUGGACCGGAUACAGGUGCUGCAUGGCUGUCGUCAGCUCGUGUCGCGAGAUGUUGGGUUAAGUCCCGCAACGAGCGCAACCCUCGCCCUUAGUUGCCAGCAUUUAGUUGGGCACUCUAAGGGGACUGCCGGUGAUAAGCCGAGAGGAAGGUGGGGAUGACGUCAGUCCUCAUGGCCCUUACGGGCUGGGCUACACACGUGCUACAAUGGUGGUGACAGUGGGCAGCGAGCACGCGAGUGUGAGCUAAUCUCCAAAAGCCAUCUCAGUUCGGAUUGCACUCUGCAACUCGAGUGCAUGAAGUUGGAAUCGCUAGUAAUCGCGGAUCAGCAUGCCGCGGUGAAUACGUUCCCGGGCCUU